rnacentral:rRNA from 1 species
AUGAUUCCCAAAUUCCAAUCAAGAGGAUGGGCAGUGGGAAGCGGGCACCACAUUCGCUGGUCCACGGCAGCCGCCGCCGCCGUCCGGCCAUCUAGCACAGCGUCCGCAGUCCGCCACCGAGCACCGCAUCCGCAGUCUGCACGUCGACACCAGCCGUUGGCGCCGCCGGGCACCGCAUCCGCAGUCUGCACGUCGACACCAGCCGCCGGCGCCGCUGGGCAUCGCAUCCGCAGUCUGCACGUCGACACCAGCCGCCGGCGCCGCUGGGCACCGCGUUCGCACAUGCACACUAGCCUCCGGCGCGCAUCGUUUUGGUCGACAGCGGAAGGCUCAUGCCAUGGACUUCAGGAGGAUGAAGAAAUGUUGUGUAAAGGCUGA